rnacentral:ribozyme from 1 species
UUUUCUUUUUUUCCAUUUUUUUUUUCUUUUUUUUUCUUUUUCAUUUUCUUU